rfam:Felis catus isolate Cinnamon breed Abyssinian chromosome A1, whole genome shotgun sequence.
GCCUGGGUGGCUCAGUCAGUUAAGCGUCUGACUUCAGCUCAGGUCAUGAUCUCAUAAUUUGUGGGUUUGAGCCCCACAUCGGGCU